UACGUAGGGUGCAAGCGUUGUCCGGAAUUAUUGGGCGUAAAGAGCUCGUAGGCGGUCUGUCGCGUCGGCUGUGAAAACUCGGGGCUCAACCCCGAGCCUGCAGUUGAUACGGGCAGACUAGAGUGCUGUAGGGGAGACUGGAAUUCCUGGUGUAGCGGUGAAAUGCGCAGAUAUCAGGAGGAACACCGGUGGCGAAGGCGGGUCUCUGGGCAGUAACUGACGCUGAGGAGCGAAAGCGUGGGGAGCGAACAGG
rnacentral:rRNA from 1 species